GACGAACGCUGGCGGCGUGCUUAACACAUGCAAGUCGAGCGGUAAGGCCCUUUCGGGGGUACACGAGCGGCGAACGGGUGAGUAACACGUGGGUGACCUGCCCUCAGCUCUGGGAUAAGCCUGGGAAAACCGGGUCUAAUACUGGAUAUGACUCCAUGACGCAUGUUGUGGGGUGGAAAGCCUUGUGCGGCUAGAGAUGGGCCCGCGGCCUAUCAGCUUGUUGGUGGGGGAUGGCCUACCAAGGCGACGACGGGUAGCCGGCCUGAGAGGGCGACCGGCCACACUGGGACUGAGACACGGCCCAGACUCCUACGGGAGGCAGCAGUGGGGAAUCUUGCGCAAUGGGCGAAAGCCUGACGCAGCAACGCCGCGUGAGGGAUGACGGCCU
rnacentral:rRNA from 1 species